CCCACGCAGGGAGCCGGAGGAGCCCCCGCCGGAGGAUGCCGCGGGCGGUGGGCUAAGCGCCCCCGCAUCCACAGUUUCUUUGGGCGCUGCCAGAGAACAGGGCUGGCUGAGGCUGGGACACAGGACAACCUGAAGGAGCCCCCUUCACUUCUCCCAAGCUGCUCAAGGCCAGUAGUCAUCUGCAGGACACCGCGAGGUGGUGGCCUCAGCCACAGUGGCGUUCCCAUGCCAAGGAAGGUCGUACCACGGUGUCGGUGUGAAUCUCCAGACAAUAACCAGCAUUCAGCAGCAAACAUACCUUUGACCUCGCUGCUCGGUUAUGGCCAGCCUGUGCUGAAAUUCAAGGACUUGGGACAGAAAGGAUAGCUCCUCGUUCCCCUCCCUUCACCUCCUCAUGUCCUGCUUCCAUAAAUUGACCAACGCCCCGGUCACAGCUGGGUUGUGCUGUCCUCCAGAGCAGGGGAGUGCUAUGGUUCUUGUUAGAGCGCUCCGCGUAUGUAAAGAGAUGUAAAUGCAGCUCAGGUCAUGAAGUCAGCCAGGGCAAGAAGGAUACAGGAGAAGAACGAAGAAGCUGAUGGUUCUUUCAUGCUCUUUUCUUGGAGUGGUUUUCUUUCAGCAGUCGCCCUGUGAGCACGCCAGGCUUGGGUGGCUGCCAGCGACAGGCGAGCAGCGGGAUGCCACAAACCACUGUUGGGUUGAUUCCACAGCUUUGGCAAUGGCAGCCUCCCAAGCAGCUCUUGCUGGGAUGACCCGUGUGAUGGACAGUGCUGUCUGCCACCAGCCCUGCAGAAGACACUAUUUCCGUGAAGUCCUGCGAGGCUGGGCAGAGCCUUGUGGACGGUCCCGUGUCACUAACAUGAGCUGUCUCCAUAGAUCCAGACUAGCUAGGAGUUUGGGACUGUUCCCUGCAGCAGGUAUCAGUUCCUGUAGCUAUUCCGAGGGGUCUCGUUCUCCUCCCUUUGGAUGGAAGGAAGUUUGUGCCAGCCUUUGUCUUGGGCGUCUGCGGGCUGACAGGGGAAUGUGCACUUGGAAGGCUGGAGACAGAUGGAGAAGCUUCGUGUUGCAGCUGGUGGCCCAGGGACUUUCACCCCUCUUGGUAACCGUUCGCUGUGUUUUGCACAACCUUUACUGAGGUAGGCUGUAUGUCAGAAAUAGCUGGGAGCUCCUCACCUGUUCCACAUAAAUCGCGGAUAUGAAUUUGCUUUUCACGCUUUUCCUCCUUCUCCUUCCUCUCCUCCUUUCCUGGUGGAACCAGGGUGUCUGAAAAUUAACACGUACCUUCGUUUGUCAUGAAAUUCUGAGUCUCAGAGCAUGUCAUAUUAUGUUAAAAUGAAUCAAUGGAAGAAUUGUAUUUGCUUUAUAUCACUUAAACUUCUAGUAGGUCUCCAAAAAAGCAAGGACACCAGGCUAGAUUAUCCACUGAUACAUAUUAAUUUGUAUAAUUUUAUACCAGUGGAAAAUCUGGCCCUGUGAAAUGUCAUGCAGCACAGGGCUCUUUCUUGGCGCAUUGGUAUAGAAAUCAAAAUAUAAAGGGAAUUAGUGUUUCCUGACCUGUGAAUUAUGUUCAUUCUCCCGGGACAGCAGUGACAGCUCUACAUUUUCUCGCUGAUCUCCUUCUCUGUCUUAGUUUCUACUUCUCAACUACAUCUGAGCAGUGGAGCUUGCUCAGGUGCUCUUUUCUUCCUGCUCCCCUAGGAUGGUAAGGUGUUUUCCCAUUUCCAUUUCACAGGGAAUCCACUCAAGCAUGCACCCUUGGCAGCUGCCUGCUGUCCUGAGGCGGGGGUCUUCCCCCCGCCGUGCAGCUGUACACCACGGUUGAAAUGCUUGGCCACCAUUACCUGAGGAAAUCUACUUAAAAGAGUGUUUGAAGCCAGGUUUGAAGCCAGUUGCAGGUGGGAUAUAGGAGGGGCUAACACAAAUAAUUCAGUUUGGAGUGGAGGAGUGCUUCUGUUUUACAGUACGCCUGGGGAGAACGGAUCUGCAUGGAUGUACUUUCACCUCAGACUCCGACGUCACCAAUUGCAGUGCCAGAGCAAUGGAGAUGGCAAGGAAGAGGAUGUUAUAGAGAGUGGAAAGUAUUCAGUAUGACCUACUUCAGUGUCAAAUUGUACAUUUGAGCAAACAUUUGAAAUCAUAAAAAACCCCACCAUUUAUGUGUAUCCAUGACUGCAUGUCUCUGGUCAGGAUUGUGACCUGCUUUUAUUCUCUUAACAGUGUUCAGGGGCCUGCAUUCAGCUUGAGCAAUGCUAAAGAGAAUUUGUGUAAAUAGUUUAUGAAUUUUAUAUAAACUGCUUCCUUCCACAGGGAGUGAUGUAGAUGGGAACUGUCACUAGCAGCAUGAAACAGAUGAGACCUUCUGAUGGCUGGAAAGGUUUUAGAAGCAGAACAAAUGAGACUAAACUGUAUUUCAAAGCAUGCAGACCUAACCCCCUCCCUGCAAUAAAGGCACCUUUUUAGGCCUGUCAAGGAGAUUUUUCAUUUUUUCCCCAUUCCCACCUGUGCUGCUCUGGAGAAGAAAAAGGAGCUCAACUAUCUGGAGUCUCUCAGUGUGUGGCCAGGGAACCAUCUCCUUCUGUGUCUCUUCCACGUUAUCAGCUGAGGUCCCACCAAGGCCACCUCAAGCAGACAAACUCCUGCACUUUCUCCCUGACACUCAUCCCACCCAGGAUUCAGAUUUAGCCUGUGGUUCCCUGGGAUCUCCAGAUCUCUCUCUGCAAUGCAGCUGCUGAUUCACAUCCUCACUUUCUACUGGAGAAUUUGAUAUUUACUUCCUCCGUCUCUGUAGCCUUCCUUAGUGAUCAAAUUUUUGUUCCCCUCCACCACAGAAAGACACAGGGUUCUAUUCAUUUUUAUAUACUUCGUUGCAAUAGAUACUGGCAAAACAAAAAGGUCACUAAACCCAUAACACUAAACGUGGCAAACAGACAGCAGCAAUCAACAUGAGAGACUGAAGCAGUUCCGCUGCUGCUCUGGGGCACCGUCAUCUACUGCCAAUGGCCAGAAGAAAGAGUCUCACCCUUAGGCCAUACCCCUAAUUUCCCUUAUUUCUGGCCGUUGGUCCUCUGGCAAAUGUAGUAAAAUUAAAAGGUGAAUUUCAAAUCCACAGUAUUUUGGUGCCAGACUUUUGUUCCAGAAUGCUUAUGCCUUUUUGACACCAGAGAUACCUACCUCUCGUCUUGCUCCAUUUAAGGGCCUCCAUCCAAAUACCUUAAA